rnacentral:rRNA from 1 species
CCCUUAGAUGUUCUGGGCCGCACGCGUGCUACACUGAGUGGAUCAGCGGGUCAGGUUGCGCGAAAGUGUUUCCUAAUCUUUAAAUCCGCUCGUGAUGGGGAUUGACGGUUGCAAUUUUCUGUCAUGAACGAGGAAUACCUUGUAAGCGCGGGUCAUCAUCCCGCGCUGAAUACGUCCCUGCCCUUUGUACACACCGCCCGUCGCUCCUACCGAUUGAGUGAUCCGGUGAGGCUUUGGGAUCUGAGCGGAAAGAGCGUUUCGCUGUUUCUGCUCGGAAAACUCAGUCGAACCUUAUCAUUUAGAGGAAGGAGAAGUCGUAACA